rfam:Sphingomonas sp. SKA58 scf_1100007010440 genomic scaffold, whole genome shotgun sequence.
CGACCCUGCCUUUCAGGCAUCCUCUCCUAAAACUUUCACGGGCUGAUCUUCGGAUCGGCCCUUUUUUUCAAGAAUU